rnacentral:rRNA from 1 species
CUUUAUAUGAGAGUUUGAUCCUGGCUCAGGACGAACGCUGGCGGCGUGCCUAAUACAUGCAAGUCGAACGCUUCCUACCGGUGCUUGCACCGGGAAAGAAGAGUGGCGGACGGGUGAGUAACACGUGGGUAACCUACCUACAAGCGGGGGAUAACAUUCGGAAACGGAUGCUAAUACCGCAUAGAUCUUUUUGUCUCCUGGCAGAAAGAAG